UUCCAGGAUCUCAUCUGAGGUGAAAAACAAACAUAAAAGAUAUAAAAGAAGUGAAAUAUAUAAUUUCAUGGUCUAUUCAGAACAUGUCGACAGAAGGAGCAUUGCAUGCAGGCACCAUCUAGUGUGAGUAUAUUGUUUGAUUAUGCAUUCUUCAUUUGCUUACAUAAUUCAUUAUAGGUUAUAUGUCAGAAGUAUGUGAAUAGCACAUGACAUUAAGACACCACAUCCAUGUGCGAACUUCACUGAAGUAAAAUUAAGUAAACAUGAGUAUCUCUGGUUCCUGUGCUUUUCUUUCUUUUAGUUUCUGGAGUUAUAAGACAUAACAGUGGUUGUGCUGUCUUUACGACAGUUAUUUAGUUUAUAAUAUUUUCGCUUAGUAAUUCAUUCAAUAGUAUUUUCUAGUUAGAAUUAGAAGUGUUUAAAGUGUAUUCAUUGCAUGUAAAAUAUAUCGGCAUGCGAUGACGUCACAUCCGGUUUCGCCGCGUCUUGUGGGAAAACACCGGUUUGAAAUUAGCGCGAGGGUGGGGGCUUUCCACGAGGCUCACCUGAGCACAAGCAGUUUUGCAGGCAUGAGAAAUCACAGUGAGAGCAACGCUUUUUCACCAUAUGUUAAUGUGAAGAGUGAACAGUAAAUGGUUAAUCUUACUGCGAUCUGGUUCUUAUUAACUGUGGUUUAUCCGGACGUUAAAUUCGGCGUUUCGUUACACCCGAAGGAGAACGUUACAGUGGUAAUGAGGAAGUUUUAAAAUGAGCCCGAGAUAACUACCUACCUGUUGAAGUGCAGCACGUUUUUUUUCUUCGGAAAGGCAGAGAGAUGUUAAAAUUUUUUGAAAAGCACAGUAUGUGUUUCUUCAGAAUGGUAGAGGCACCUUUGAGUUUCAAGAAAAGGCAGAAAAUGGACGAAAUUCACAGGAUCAUUAACAAUACUAUCUGACCUGCUGAUGCUUCCAGCAAAAUGAAGAGGGUGUGGUCUUACUGGUUUAGGCAGUGCCCAAUUCUCAAAAUUCUGUCUUAUUCUAUUGAUCUAAAGCAUCAUGGACUCCAGCUGUAUGGUCUGAACAGUGACAGGCUCUCUGCAUAGUGUAAGAGGAAAGUUCUUCCUCAAAGAUUGACCAGAAGAGUUGACAGCCCCUCUCCCAGCUUUUCCAAAGUGAUUUCCUCAUGAUCUCUCUGACAUUCAUUUGCAAGAUAUUUUAAAUGCCUUUGAAGAAAAAUUGUAAGUUACUUAAAACAAAAGCUCAAGUAAAAAGAAGUGUACCAAAAUAUUAAAUCUAAGUGAAAUAAUUUUAAUAAAAGUUUACUAACCCUCCUUUGGCCUUGUAAUCUACAAUCCUCCAAUCCAUAUUGAAGUUAAUGAGGUCUUUGAUUCUGCAGAAUUGUGCAGGAAAGAAGAAGCUUCCUCUCAUGUAAUUUAGGAAAUCUCAUCAAUAUUAGGGUCUGGGCACCACAGUGACAGACUCGGUGAUCAGAAUCUGUCAGCAAAUCUAGGGUCCUCAUGUUUGACAGUGCACAUAUGGAGUCCCAGACACACUCCAGUUUAAACAGCUAAGGACAAGCAGUUCCCUUGACAACAUCUGGUUUUAGAUAACAAGUUCCAGCCCAGAGACUCAUAACAGCUGGGCUUUGCUCCAUCUCCGAUGUAGCAACAAGGGCAGUGGCUUUCAAGUACAAUUGUACAACAUGUGUGCUCGCCCUGCUCCUUGGAACUCCCAUAACAUUUCUUUAGAACCAAACAAAUAGUUUCUCAUCAAGAGAAUGCAUUAUGUCACUGACAAGUAGAAUGCUCUGUGGUCCUUUGAAAAAGCUCCAAUCUUAUCACAAGUUUUAAAAAGUAUUGCAGAAGCUGACAUCAUCUGCUGUCUGAGCAAUGCUCAGUUUCCUACUACUGGAAGAGAUUAAGUGGUACAUAAAAAUGUAUAAACUGCAGAUACUGAUAUUUGAACUAUCUGGGCUCAUGCUAAGGAUAUUCCAUGAAUGUUUCCACUGACAAAAUACAUUUACUGUCACACUGCACAUUAAUCAAGUUUACAAAUACUUCAUACACUGAAGAGGAUGAUUAGAUUGGAUUAGUUUUAUUUGUCAUAUAUACAUCAAAACAUACAGUGAAAUGCGUUGUUUUCAUCAAAACAAAUCAAGGAAGGAUUGUGCUGGGCAGCUAAGUGUCACCACACUUCCAGCACCAACAUAGCAUACACACAACUCACUAACGCUAAAGCUAACGGUACUUCUUUGAAAUGUGGGAAGCAACUGGAGCACCCAGAGGAAAGCCGACAGUCACAGGGAGAGGCAGCACCUCUUUAUGGACCAACGACAGGAAUCGAACUCUGAUCUUACAGCUGGAGCUAUAAGCUGUUGCGCUACCAUGCUGCUCCAAAGAUAAAAUGUUUGAGAAGAUUAAUAUCUAUAAAGUAGCAAUUAAUCCCAAGUUACAACAGUUUCAAUGAUGUGAACAUAAUUCUUUCAUCAUCAUGAUCAAUCUCCUCUCAGCUUCCAAUCACUUUUGCCUAUUUUUAAAAAUGCACCAUAUUCACUUCUGAUUUCCCUAAUCCUGCCAGGGUGAACUGUGCACCGACAGUUCCGAAGGUGAUAGUUUUUCUCAUGUGAGAAUCUGGAGAGCAAUUAUCGACGGUAAUGAGGGCAUUGUUUCCCAGCACAACUUAAACACAUGAGAUUCCGCAGAUACUGCAAAUCCCAAGUGUGAGCGUGGCGGGCUUCCGUCAGUCAUGGUCAACCAUGGGUACUGCGCCUCUGGUCCAAGCUGAAGUGACCUCUCCAGGGUGCAAGCCAGGGCAGAGUUGAUGUGGAGAUCCGUCUGUUGCCCAUGCAGUGGGACCCCCCUUCCCAUGCUGAUGACAGGUCCAAAGGAACGACGAAUGUCGAUACAGUUUGGUGUCAGCAGCAUCGCAGGAGUUGCCGUGUCGGUGCUGGGUACAACAGUCAGCCGCCUUCGGGUCUCCGACUCUGGAUUUUUCCCAGGGGUUUACUCCCAAAGCCUUUCCCGUGAGCGGGUAUAGCCGCAAGGCAGCGGAGGUUUGAAAUCAGAGUUUACCAUCCGUGAUUAACGAGCCCCAUCUGCCCGGAGCAACUGGUUUUAAGGCACCGGUGGUCUUUGCCCCUUCUCCUGUCAGUGAGAACAGCUCUGCUGGGCAUAAGAAUUACGCCACACAUGAAGGCCAGGAUCACGCCAUGAAGAGCAUUUGUUUAGCAGUGGGAGCUCAUCUCCACUACCACCCUUCAGUUAUGUCUGCCUUUCGAGCCGGAGUAUCCGUCCAGAGUAACACACACAAAAUGCUGGAGGAACUCAACAGGUCGGGCAGCAUCAUGGAAAGGAAUAAACAGUCGAUGUCUCUGGGCUGAGACCCUUCAUCAGGACAGGAAAGGAAGGAAGAAGAAUCUAGAAUAAAAAGGGUGGGGAAGGGAAGGAGCACAAGCUAGAAUGUGAUAGGUGAAGGUAUGUGGGGGAAGGAGGAUGAAGUGAAAAGCUGGGAGGUGUAGGAGGAAAACUUUAAGUACUGAAGAAGAAGGAAUCUGAUAAGAGGAGAGAGUGGACCAUGGGAGAACAUAGAGGAGGAGGGGGUCUGAGACAGGGCCCGCCGGUAUCUCCACACCGAGGAGAGGGUGGCAUGUAAAAUUGGGAGGGAGAAGCAACUAAUUGAAUGCAAGUACCUGGGAUCCUCAGUGGGUCCGAACUGGGAGGCCCGAAAAUGGAUCUGAGCCAUGUGGGCCAAGAUGACGGCAAAUCAAGUUCCCAGGAAGGACAUGGCUGUGGUAGUGAGUCUGGGUGAGCACACGUUCUUGUUUUUACCUAGAUACAUAUCUAUACUCAAACACGAUAGUCCCUGUAGGUGAUAUUGAGAAUGGCUUCUUCAAUAAUUCAGUUCCGUGGCUAAAGUGGAAAUAUAAAUGAACAUUGCUUUUGUUCCCCUCAGCACUGAGGCUGCUCCAGCUGCUCCCGGCCUUGUGUAUGCAAGCUUCACGGCAAUUUGCCCCACUGUGUAACGUGCUGAGGCUGAGGGUAAGGGCCUGUUCUGCUGCUCCAGUCUUCGUGUCUACAGUCUCAUUUUUGUUCUGAAUGCUGUUGCUUGCUUCUAUUGUUUGUAUGAUCUCUCUCUCUCUCUCUCUUCCCCCCCCCUCCCUCUCCCUCUCCCCCUCCCCCUCUCCCUCCCCCUCUCCCUCUCCCUCUCCCUCCUCAUUGGGUGUUGGUCUUUUUUAAAAUUUGGGUACUUUCAGGUUUCUUGCUUUGUGGCUGCCUGUAAGCAGACAAAUCUCAAGGCUGUGUAUUUUAUACAUCCUUUGAUAAUAAAUGUACUUUGAACUUUACUCUACAGGGAAAAUGGAACUGAUUUUUAGAGGUAACCACACAUUCAGUCCUUUUGGAAAAAAGGGAAUUGGAGAAGAUGCAAAGAUAAGUAACUCAAGGGUGGGCAUUUGAAGAGGGGCAGUAUCUCUAAAGAGAGAGGCACUUAAUAAUGCUUGCUGCAUGGAGACAAGGACAGGCUGCUUGUGGGUUGGGAUAAAAGAACACGAUAUGGGUCUCAUGGAUGAGAUGAAGUUGGAGAAGGACAUGAGCGGUAGGAGUUCAAGGGAACGGUGGAGGAAACCUGGAGGGAGGGUGAAAUGAAAGUCGUUGUGUCAGGGGUGCAGCAGAGGCCGAUGAGCGGAUGAUUUCAAUUUGGUGAUAAAGAAGUCUCAGAAUCUGUUUUGCAUUCUCCAGUCAACGGCAGAUGUGAAUUCAUAUUCAGUUACUGGUUAAGUGAACGCUGAACUGACUUUUUUCCUCAUAGGAGUGGGUGGGGGAGGUGAUAUUCAGCCUAAUGAAUUCCCCACCAGACAAACCCCCACAGAUAGUCCAAAUGCUUAUUCCCAGUGUAAAUAAAUCUUUUUGCUUGACAGUAUCCAGAUUGUUUAAAAACCAGUCUUACAAGCUGUUUCUGAUAGAUGGAAAUAGUUGACAGCUAUAUGAAUUAGCAAACAACUUAUCUCACAAGGGAGCCAAAGGGAGCAGUUUCUUGGAACUAUAUACUCUUUCAAUAACCGUAUUCAUUUUGAGCCAGAUUAGAUCUUGGCACGUUGAAAUAUAUAAAUAACUGAUAAUUUUGUCAUUUUCUAUUGCCUAAUUAACUUUCUAUUUCAUUGCCUACUUUAUCAAGUAUUGUACAGCGUUACAAUAGCUCAAACCAUUAUGUACAUUUCCCAACACAACGUACAUAUCUCAGCUCCACAUAUGCACUGUCAUUUCAAGCGAUCCUGCUUAAAUUGCUAUGAUGGAAAGAGGGAAGUGCUUUAUAUUAACGAAUCUUUCUUUCAUAGUUUCAUGUGUACUUUUGCAGCACACAAUGGUACCAGUUUGUCAGAAAUCGUUAAGGCUGAAUUCACUCACUGAAACUUCAACAUUACCACAAAAUCUUCGAACAGCAAGUGAUUUACAGUGGCCUCACAGCAACCACCUCCACAAGUUAAGUGAAUGGCCAGCAAGGAACAUUCACUCAGCACAGAUGAUGUUUAACUUCUGAUUUCAAGAAGCUAUUGAACAACAUGCUUCUUUCCCAGAGCAGAAAAUGUGCACUGUUAAUGGAAAUGUUGAUGGAAAAAGUAAAAGCGUUUUUAAAUACAUGUAGUAAUUAUUGUUGUUUAUGUUACAACACGCUUAUUGUAUGGAACUUAAUGGCCCAAAAUUUCUAAUAAAGAUUUAGCUGUU